CCCUCCAAUAUCACAAAAGGUCCACCGAAGGAUACCCGAUAAAUUUCUGCUACUUUAUCUUCCCCUUCUCUCUCCUUUCCCACAAACCGCGUCUCCGCUUCUCGAGCCCACCCACAAAUCUUCGGAGAAGAGAGAGAGAGAGGGGCAGGGCGGCCAGAGGAGGCACGCCUGCCCGGAUCAUAACCAAGAUUCAAAUUUGCCCGCUCAUCAAUCAUGGUUCUUGAUUCAUUAUCAUCGCCUCACAGGAGGUCGCAAAACACAUUCUUUCUGUCAUCUCCUAAGAAGCCUCAAUCAUCUCGUGAUGAUGUUGGUAGUUGGUCUGCCCUGGUUGAGCGGCAUCGCUUUCUCUUGACAACGCUAGUGGUGCUUGCCUUCCUGUGCACCAUAUAUCUUUACUUCGCGGUGACCUUGGGGGCACCACAAGCUUGCUCAGGGUUGGCGGGCGAUGAAAUGACCGUAUGUCAGGAAAAAUCAGCCCUGCAACAUGGAAAGUUGAAAUAUCGCUAACUCCGCUUGACAGUUUACAAUGUGCUUGUGGUCCAAAUUCGUAUAUUCUUUAGUUGUGGAUGCUGAAAGGGCUUGUAUUGAUGCUGCUGUACAUUUUAAUGGAGUGAUAGAGGGGAUUGUAUGUGCUCUGAUGAAACCGUAUAACUGAAUAGGUCCCAUUUUAUUAUUGUCACGGUGUACUAAAAAUAUCAUGGCACUAAUUCAUCCUGGUGAUUCUGAUAUUGUUAUAUAUAUAUAUAUAUAUAUAUAUAUAUAUAUAUAUAUAUAUAUAUAUAUGUAUAUUGAUACAAUAUUAUCAAUAAUAUGGGCGGGGUAGACAAAAAAGUGAAUAUUUCUGCAAGAAGCAAGCAUCAUCCACAAAAAAGAAGAAAAGAAGACCAAGCUUGAGCUUGGCCGCAUACAUCGCAGAAGAAGGCAGGUGUCUGAGUCAAGACAGAAUGUGAGUAACGAAGCUGAGAAGGCUGCAAUGCAAGUAACGAGGAGCUGAGGAGAGGCCGGAAUGCAAAUAACGAGAAGCUGCCAGCCGUUCUCGUGAAGACAUCCUUAUCCUCGCUCCAGAAGGCUCUGCCAUAUGAAUAAAAAAGAGAAGGCUCCCUAACGCCUCCCUCGACUAUAAAAGGAGAGGCUGGCUUCACAAGAACGGAGCAGCAACACAAGCAGAGCCUAAAGUCUCCCUCGAGCAAGAAGAGCAGCCUCCAGAGCACUCUUAGUAGUAGUACCACCACCACUUGUAGAAUAGCCGCCAUAUCGAAGGCGCUGUAAUCGCCAAGAAAAAUAAGACAAGUUCAACAAUGGCAUGUCAUGGACAAGAGGAUGUGGAACACCUUCAAAAUGCUAAGGACACAUAUUGGCAAAGCUCAAGACUCUUCAUUUAUAUUUUAGUGAUCCAAGAUCACAUUGAGUCCAUAGGAAAGCCAAUACUAUUAAAAGGGGAUGAGGUGUUGCUUAAUGGUCUACUUGCUCAAAAUGCUUAGUGAUAUUGCUCCAAAGCCCUCAAUCACUUUCCCAUUUUCAAAUAUGUCCAAAACACAAAGUCAAACUCGGCCCCACCGAAAUCUCCUAUCCGGCGCCACCGAGUUUAUUUGACAUAGCCACUGCCAGAAACCCUAACACCUCGGUCACACCGAUACGGAUCUCGGUCUCACUGAGAUGGCCU